UGAGUUGAUAAAUGGGCCAAGGCCUAAAUAAUUCUUUGGAAUCGCGGCCAGCAGGCGAAGAGAGGAGAGAUUGAGGAAGACAGCGACGAUGAGCGGCGCCGGCUCUCCGGACUUCUUCUGAAGUUAAGCGCAACGCCUCGGUUACGUCACCUGAUCUUCCUUCCAGAUGUGCUCGCCCUCGCAUUUCUCCAGUUGAACCCCUCUGCCGAGGAGUUCGUUCCCCCCUCCUUACUAUCGUCGGGUCUCUUGGCCAUGCUUAUUCUAUUCUGGACAGGAGCGCGAUCACGAGAAAGUACAGUUUGCUUGAGAUGCGUAAUAGGUUCGACAGAAUUCCAAUGGCUCAAUACGGAGAGUCUAUCAGGAGGUCUGUCUUUGUUUCUAAUCUUCACCAGAAGGUAUGCAGGGCGUAACUUCAUACCUCGUAAUCUUGUACGCGUUUUAUAUUUUUCUGACUGUAUCCAACAAUAUGUUACGGGAGUGAGAUGGUAGCUUGAAUGAAUAGUCUUGUAUUUUUCUGACUCUAGUUACUUUCGUUGUCUUAGGUUACUGAAGAGCAGCUUGUUGAAUCAUUUAGAUGUUGCGGGACACUAAGUUCCUCAAUUGCACUAAGACAAUAAGUUACUAUAUCUGUUGCCUCGCUCUUUCAGGAUUACAUUCACUGGAAACUAAUUAUUAUACCCUGGCUAUAUGAAUUUACAUCGUUGAUUUCAUCCAUUUUGACAGAGACUAGAUGACUAUGUACUUGACUCUUAGAACAACUAAAAAAGUAAUUUGUUUGCAUAUUGUGAUCAGAAGAAAUGUAUGCUUAUUGUCCUAACAAUACAUGCUUCUGUGCGCCUCCUAAAAAUCUCAAGACUAAGUUCAAGUUGAGGCUCGCACCAUGUUAGAGCUUUCUCAACAAGUACAAAGUACAACGGAUGUAGGAGCUUUGUGUUCACUUUGUGUUUCAAUAAUCUUGAUUUUAUUCUUGGAAAAUAAAGGGCCGUAUAUAACCGAUCCGAACUUGGAUACAAAGCCAAAUAUCGAUUCAGAUCUUACUUGUCUUUACUAAAUCAAACUAAUAGAAAUCUAGUCCAAGCAUGAGUCUUUAACUCGAACUUGACUAAUAAAGUUGGACUUAAUUAAUAUUGGAUCCAUAAUGAUCAAAUCAUUACCUUGAUAGAUUUUAUUGAGGUUAUGAUCUAGGAGAAUUCAAUAGAAAGACCAUCUUUAUUAUUAGAUAGAUUUGCUUGAUUGCCUGAUUUACUGCUUUCCUUAUGCAGCCUAGAUUAGGAUUAUUAGAUAAAAACUUAAAGUAUAACUUAAAUAUUAAUCAAUUCCUAGAUUUCAAAUUAUAAACAUCUCAAAAAAAAAUUUAUAAGGAUUAAUCUAGAAAUGGGUGAGAUGUAAGGAUUAAUCUAUUAAUUUACUUAACCUAACUCAAACUAAUCAAAUACUUAACCAAACUCAUUCUUUUUUCAAAAUUUAAAUCUAAUUAUUUUUCAAAACUUAAUUCAUAUUUUUAAUUAAUUUCUCAACUUGAUUAAUUUUCUUAUAUUAAUGAACUUAAACUUUAAAUCAAUUUAAAAGUUAAGAUUAAUUUAACUCUAUCUUACACGAACUCAUAAAGUUUAUGUUUUAUAUAUAGAAUGAGUGAGAUGGAAAAUAAUUAGCUGAAAUCAAUCUAUGCAUUUAAAAAUCUACUUAAGUUGGUUCCAAAUUGAGUACUUUAUUGGUAAAAAAUAAUGAUUUGAAUUAAUGGAUGUUGUAUAGUAGGUGUUUCAAACAUAUGACGGGAGACAGAUUGAAAUUCACAAAAUUAAAAAUCAAGAACUUAGGCUAUUUUACAUUUGACAACAAUGGAAAACUUAAAGUAAUCAAAAUAAAUAAUAUCGAGCUAAGUUCAAAUUUUAUUAUUCGAAAAGUUCUACUAGUAAAUAAGUUUAAGUUUAACUUACUGGGAUUUAAUUAUAUGACUAAUUCUUUAGCUGGGAUUAUCAUUCCCCCUAUAUUUAUUCUUUUUCUUUAGAAAACAUUAAUAUCACGAUGGAUGAAACCUAACAUUGAGAAAAAAAGUACAUGAUCAGCAUAUCAUGAGUCACCUAUUUUGAAUGUUCAUACAAGCAAAGAUUAAAUUUUAAUUGGUCUGGUAUAUACAACUUAGUCUGAUGGAGUGCUGGUACUAGAAAAGGUUUUGCGCUAACUGGUACCUAUAUAUUUUUACCACAGGAUCAUACAGGUUGGUAUAAUGGAUGAUAUCCCAGUACAUAUUCUAUGAACUACUUGUAGUGACUGUGGACUCAAAUUUCAAAAAAUUCCUUGCAAGUUAUUGCUGCUUUCUGUUUUAGUGACUAGUUAGGAUAGGUGAUUCAUGCCAAUUGUGUGUCCAGUGUACAGACAGAGAAAAGCACAUCUCAGACUGUGCAAUGAACUUGAGUCAUCAUAUUUGACUGGCAUUUAAAACUCUGUUCUGAAGUUGUUUAACUUUUUGUUGUCUCUUUCAACAUGGACAUCUAAUGUGUUUUCUAACGCUUAGUUUGUUGUAGGCCAUGAUCUACUGAAAAGUUGCUACUUGUACUCCAGAAUCUGCAAAUUUGACAUACACCAGCUAAGGCCUCUGGCAGAACAGCUGAAGACUGUGGUAUAAAUGGUGAUGAAACUGGCUUUGAUCCUUGAAAACUAUGACAAGAUUCUUAGCUCUUGCAACGCUUUGGAUUUUCAUGAUUUCAUUAGCUCAUCUGUGAAGUUACUUGCUGAUUUCCCUGAAGUGUACAAUGAGUGUUGGAGCACUUGGAAGGCAAUUGUUAUAGAUGAAUUUCAGGAUACAAGUUCAUUGCAGUAUGGCCUCUUAAGGAUUUUAGCUUCUCAUAAUCGUGUAAAAAUUAUUGGUGAUGAAGAUCAGGUUUGCUUAUUUUCUUCUGGUUUUCUUUACUUCUACUCUUAUUUUUGAGAUACAUGUUUCUGAUAUGAUCAAAGCUGUUAUUCUCUUUCAAAGCCAGAUAUUUGUAUUUCUUCAUGUUUCUUACUAUUUCUGUUUUUAACUGCAUCCAGUCCAUAUUCAGUUUUAAUGGUGCUGUCAAAGAAACUUUCCUACUGUCAAAGAGGUUAGAUUGAAGAAGAAUUACCGCUCUACCAAGUGCAUUGUUGAGGUAGUUUCUGCUCUCAUACUGAACAAUAAUAAACGUUGCUGUAUUAAACAAAUUGUGAUUGAUAAUUCCUGUGGAAGCAAGGUAUACUUGUUAUGUAAUAAGCAUAUUGAUGAAGAUAUACUUAAUAUGCUAUAAAAUGAGUGAUCAAAAUGGAGUGAAGCAUUUGGAGUCGUUUGUGAUAAUCAUGUCCUCAAACACUGAAAUUAAAGUUUUAUAAGAUUGUGAUUUGACUAGCGAUACUCUGUUGAGGAGUGUUGGGAUGUGGAAAAACAACAUAUUCAACAAGCUAUUAUAGCAGAGACGAGAAGGUUGAAAUGGAUGCGAGGAGUUCUUAAGAAUAAAUAAAGAGAUGAUAUAUACAUUGAUGCGGAUGCAGCUUGGGGCGUAGGAGUGAUUAGGGAGAAAGAGAGGGGCUGUUCAGUCUUUUGCAAGAUUAGGGCUUUGAGUUUAUAAGACGCACUGUUCAUUGAGAAGGAAGGGGGAGAGGACUUUUUGGCUUCGUGCUGUAGUUUGGGGCCGCCGCCACCAUGAACAGAGGAAGGGACUUUUUCUUGGUCCCUCGCCGCCGUCGGCGGAUGGACGCCUCUCUCUCUCAUGCAUGCCACUGCCCUCCCUCGAUGAUGCCGCCUCCUCCUCCUUCAGGAGAUCCAAGUGCCCUGGCCGCGAACCUUCAUCCUCCUCCUCCACCGUCGCCGGCGUCGCCACGCCCCCCUUCGACCUCAAUGACAACCGGAGGCCGAACCUCCUGCCACCUCCGCUUCCCCUUCCGUCGAGGAGUCAGCCUUGGACGGCGGCUCCCUUGGCGAGGAAUCUCGCGGACUUCGCCUCCUCGGCCUCCUUCUCCGCUGCGUUGAGACUGUCGCCGCUGACCAGCUCUCCGAGGGCCAUGACCUCCUGCCCGAGACCUCCGAGCUCGCCUCCCCUUUCGGCUCCUCCCCCGAGCGAGUAGCUGCCUACUUCGCCCGGCGUCCUCCGCGCUCAUAUCGUCAGUUCCGUCCUUAACGCUUACUCCCCGCUCGCUGCCACAGCCACCGAGCCCAGCGGCCAUUGCCGCCGCUGCCCUCCGAUGCCACAUCCAUUGUUGGCCGACUCACGACCUCCAUGGCUGGUAUUGUGCUUUGUGUGUUGUGUUCCGGCAUCGAGCCGCUUAGUUAUUGGUAUUAUUCGGCCUGCGUGCCGUAUGUCGGCUUGCGAGCCGUUGUGGUAUUCCGGCCUAGGUGCCGUUGUCAUGUCUCGGCCUGCAUGCCGCCUUCUGGAUCCAUGUUGCACCAGAUUCCAUGUUGUCGCCCCCAGAUCCGACUCCUUAGCUAGUUCAUAUUCAUCUACUCAUUCGGGGCCAUGACGGCUCGAUCAGCAGCGCGACCAACUCACCGAUCCAUCCGAGGGCGCCCCUCCGGGGCCAGGUACGUCAUCGUACUCGUCUUGUAUUUAUUUAGUUCUAUCAUUAGUCAGCUACUUAUAUAUUCGUGGGACCCGCCUCGAGCAUCGGGGUACCAGAGACCGGGGCAAGUAGUGUUCACUAAAGGACAUCGGACGACUUGGUCAAUGCAGGAGACAGCCCAACAUCCGGGUCAUUGAGAUGCGGUCAACAUUCCAGACACGUCACACCGGCAGGUUCGUCUUCUCAGCUUCCCGACAGGAACAUGCAUGUUCAAAGAUGAUCGAUGAAUUGUCUUGUUGGAAGAGUGAAAUUAUUAGAAUGAAAGAUGUAAGUGGUGGUAGACCAACAUCAAUAUUUGUUAAUGUAGAAAAAUAAUUUAAUUAAUUAGAAUAUUGCAUUGCAUGGAUUUCAAUGGGGUGAUAAGAUUCAUGCAAUGUACUCCCAAAGAGGAAAUGAUUAUGAUGAUAUUUGAUAUAAAGUGUUGAUGUCACUGUUUGAAGUAUGCUGCUUAACAGUAGUCAGGUUUCUAUUAAGGAAUGGCGCAACGAAGAUGCACAAUGUGCAUUUGUCAUUGACAAAAUUUUAGAGAUGACAUCACAUGACUCAAUGCUGACGUCUCCUUUGGCAAUGUUGCGAUUCUUUACCGGAGACAAGUCUCUGGAAAAGCAUCCCAAGCAUGUUUGCAAGACAGGAGAAUACCUUUUAAUACUCAUGGGGUUGCCUUUUAUCGGAAAAAGGGUGGCUUUCUGUUUUCGUGCAGAAUUUUUGCUUGCGCCUUAAUUAUAUUUGCAUCUUGUAAUUGCUUGUUAGGUCAUGGGAGCUGUGAGUGCUGGUCUCUUAACUUGCUCUACUAUUGAGUUUUGUUAUUUCAUGAGGAUAAUCUAGUUUAUGCUGUUACAUCUUCAUGCUGUUACAUCUUCGUUUUAGUGAUUAGGCUUUUACUUCUUAUCGUAUGCUUGUAGGUUAUUGCAACACAUGAUGAAGCUUCUUCAAGCAGUUAUUAACUCUAAGUAGGCUCAUCAGUUAGUAACAUCAUCUUAUUUUGCAGAAAUUAGCUAAGAUUGACAAGUUGUGUCAGUUGUAAUGCUAGAAUAAGAAUAGGUAUUCACUUUUCCAUUACAUUCCCUGCUAAAAGAAACAACACAUGAAUCAAGUUGACCAUAAAAAUUUAUUACUAGUUUCGAAAUAUCUUUGAGUUUUCUCUUCAUACUGCAAAUAUAUGCAUCCUGACUGCAUCUUAUAGAGUAAGUUGAUCUCUUAUCUCAUUAUUGGAAGCUCUCUUCUUGGGCCAUGGCAUGUGUAAUAUUGCCAUUGCAAGUGAAUUAGUAGGUAAACUUCAGAAUCCUAGGCUCUCUUGAAUGGGAUGAACUUAAUUACUUUGCCUUUUAUGUUUAUUAUUAUAAUUUUUGUGCUACUCCGAAAUUGUGUUAAUGAAGACAUUGCACAUCAGGUAACAAAAGCUAUUAUGGCAUUACUGAGAACAACAUUGCCUGAUUGUGAUGUUAGUCCAUUUCGGCUUUCCUUCAAGGCACUUUUUCCUGGUGAUUUGCAGUUGUCUUCAGUUUAGGCACUCAACUUCUCAAUUGAGCAACCUGAGUGACUAACAUGGUGACAUACAUGUUGUUGAUUAUGUUGAAAGGAUUUCCUCAGCAAGAAAAUGUAGCUUUUUGGCAUCUGCAAAAGACAUUUUUCAUGCAAAAGUUUCUUGUACUUUCAAAAGGUUUUUUGUUCUCGACCUCCUUUAUAUUCUUUAGACUUAAUUUUAUGAUUUGUAUAGUACAUGCUAUAUUUAUGAUCUUGUCAUUUUUAGUUGAGCUGAUAACAUUUUUUGCAAUUUAUUCCGGGGAAGGAGGUAUCUUCACUUCACUAGCAAGUUCCUUUGGCUAAUUUGGCAAGCUCUUAUUUUUUAUAUCUCUGCAUUUUUUUCAAUCACGUUGCUGUGCUAAUGGUUAAUGAGGAUCUAUACCACAAUCAUUGAAAGGAAUGCAUUGUGAAAUCAUAGUUAUGACAUCAUGCUCGUGAAGUCUUAGUUCCUCUUCCAUAGGAUUCUGUUGGUCUUAAGGUUAACUUCAUCAUGGGUUGAUAACUUGGAACUUUCAGCUGAGGUCUUUUUUAACUUGAUUAGUAGUAUAAUUCAGUGUUUUUAUGAUCCUGCAUAUAAUAAAAUUAUAUUUGUUCUCUAUAACAACUGCUUCCUCUUAAUUUGGAAAUAAUAUUUAGGUUGUUACAUAGUGGUUUGCUAUAUUUGGUCAAUGCCAUUUAAGUUGUCCAUAUAAGAGAUACAUAUGAUAUUUAUUUGACCUAUUCUCCUUCACCUACAAGAAAGAAGCAACUACAGUUUUCCCCCCUUAUUUCUGGAUGGGUGAUGUACAAUCAAUGAGUUGUCAAUGUUGUCCCUGUUGUUCCAAUUAACUUUGUGAUGAAAUUUGCUAAUUCCAUCGACAUCACAUGGAAGACCUUCAGAUUCAUGCCUCUGCUCAUCUACUAAUUAUUAUGUUAAUUGUUUUACUUACGUUGAACAUUCUAUGGUUCCAAUUCUUCCUGUGUUUUCGUUUACAAGGUCUCAACUUACUCAAGGAUGCAAAGUAUUAUUUUCACUUGAUAUGAUCUCCACGCUUGAAAGAAGAGUAAGAAAUAAUGAAUAUUGAUACUACUGCUUUGUUAUCUUGGUGUUUACUUUUACAAUGUUCUUAAUAUUUGUUCCUAGAUGAAAUUUCUAUCUUGGUUCUUAGCUGUAUGCGCCAACAGGAGUGUUUGGUUGGUAAAUAACCUUGGUUGGUAUUGCCGUUGAUGUAUUUCUAUUAAAAGGACUUGAUAAGAACAUCUUGAGAAGAGCCAUUUAUGAAAUUUUAGCUUAAAUAUCAUUCUUUCAGUCAUAUCAAACAAGGCAAAACAGGUAAUCAAAGAGCUAAGAGUGGGGUGUUUCAUCACAAACUUCUGUUCUAUUCACUCAUUUUUAUCAUCGAGCCAUGUUAAUUUCAACUGUUUGGGUUUUAGCUACAUGGAUCUUAUCUCCAUUGAAUAAAUUAUAUCACUAGUAACUUUGAGAUCUGUUAUUUGAUUUUUUAGUUCCUUAACUAUAGUCUUAGUCCCUGGUUUUCCUCUACUCCUUUAACCUUAACUCUGAUUGAGGAACCUGAAGAAUUUUAUAUGUAAUUGUGUGCCUUAGAAGCUGCGUGUACCAUCUUAACCUAUUUCAGCCACGCCUAGUAGCUUUCAAAUCAUCAUACUAUUCACUUGCCGUAUUAUUCUUAAUUAGGGUGACAUUAUAAUUUGUUAGUUCUUGUUUGAUGUAUCAACUUUUCUAUUUUAAUUCAUUUAUGUUAAGAGGUAGGCUAAUUUUUAUUCAUCAAAUAAGACUACAACCAAUGACUAUCUAACUUGGCCUAACUAAUUAAUGGGAAAAAAAACUAUAGUUUUCAUAACAAUAAAAAAUCCUCUUAUUUUCUCAUUUUCUCUUCUCUCUUUCGAUCACGUGAUUGCUUUCCAAGGCACGUCACGCCAUAUUCCAUUAUCCGUCUCUUAUAGUUCUUUGCCAACAGUUUUGUAGGUUUCUACCAAAUUUUCCUUUAGAAUGAUCAGUCUCUUUUAUUUUUAGUAUUGUUACUAGAAUUUUUAUUUAUUUAUUUAUUUAUGCGAUACCAAAAGGAAACAUCUUCAUGUUCCAAGGAACAUUACAAUUUGUCCUUUCUAUCUGAGAUGGUUCUCUUUAGUCAGUUUGGAUAGAGGAUUACUCAUUUCAGUUGAAACUUAGUAGUUAAUAUUUUAUAUAAUUCUUUUUCUUUGAUUAAUUUAUAAUUUGAUGCUAUCUUCAUCCUGUUUGGAAAGUUCAAUCUCAAUGGUCAUCUCUUCUGUAGCAAAUAUGUUACCUCAGGUUCAGUUUAAUAUCAUUUCCAAGAUUACUUUAGUUUUAUUUUUCUUGUAAUUCCUUUUCACUUAAUUAUUGGUAGGAACUGCUUUCUUUCUGAGGCAGUCUGUCCCCUUUGGAACUUGUGGCUAAAAUCUUGUCACAUUGCAUUGUAGUUUUUUCAUCACUGAAUACCAUCUAAUUUGACAUAGGUGACUCUGAAUUUGUUAUCAUGACCAUUACUGGAAUCUUUGUUUUAUUGGUCAUCAAUGUAUUUCUCACACUAUUGAUAGGACUUGGUGUCAAGAUAAGGUUGUUCUUUUGUGAUUCUUGGUGUUUAGGUUCUGUUAAAUAAAUUCCACUUUGCUUGCAAGGUUAAUGGCACGAGAUGUACAAAUAUUAAACUGUUUACUCAUGGUUAACAGAUAUGAAAACAAGAACCUCAAACAGAUGUAGGUAGUUUUGCACACUUCAAACAAUUUUUAUAUGGCAUCAAGUGGUUCAGUCAAUUGCCAAGUAUAUAUUAUUGAAGAAUAUGUGAUGAAUCUGUAUCAUGAUAUUUCUGGGAAGCAUUUAACCUUGUUGCUCUUGUCCUGAAUGGAGAAGAUUCUCACAUUUAGUGUAAUGUGGGGAUGCCUUGUGGUCAAGACCAAAAAG